rnacentral:rRNA from 1 species
GACGAACGCUGGCGGCGCGCUUAACACAUGCAAGUCGUGCGGUGUCGAAGGCAAGUCUUACGACAAGCCUUCGACACAGCGGCGAACGGGUGAGUAACACGUGAGUAGCUGUCCUAAGGAGGGGGAUAACGCCUGGAAACGGGUGCUAACACCCCAUAUGCCUCGCAAGAGGUGAAAGUGUACUUGCUACAGCCUUAGGGUGUGCUCGCGGCCUAUCAGCUAGUUGGUGAGGUAACGGCUCACCAAGGCUAAGACGGGUAGCCGGCCUGAGAGGGUGUACGGCCACACUGGAAUUGAGAUACGGUCCAGACUCCUACGGGAGGCAGCAGUGGGGAAUCUUGGGCAAUGGGCGAAAGCCUGACCCAGCGACGCCGCGUUGGGGAUGAAGCCCUUCGGGGCGUAAAACCCAUGUUGUAGGGGACGAAGAAAGUGACGGUACCCUACGAGAAAGCCCCGGCCAACUACGUG